UACGUAGGGGGCAAGCGUUGUCCGGAAUCAUUGGGCGUAAAGCGCGUGUAGGCGGCUUGGUAAGUCUGCUCUGAAAGCCCGGGGCUCAACCCCGGGAGGCGGGUGGAUACUGCUGAGCUCGAGUCCGGAAGAGGCGAGUGGAAUUCCUGGUGUAGCGGUGAAAUGCGCAGAUAUCAGGAGGAACACCAGUGGCGAAGGCGGCUCACUGGACCGGAACUGACGCUGAGGCGCGAAAGCGUGGGGAGCAAACAGG
rnacentral:rRNA from 1 species